CCUACGGGUGGCAGCAGUGGGGAAUAUUGGACAAUGGGGGAAACCCUGAUCCAGCGACGCCGCGUGGGGGAAGAAGUAUUUCGGUACGUAAAGCUCUAUCAGCAGGAAAGAAAAUGACGGUACCUAACUAAGAAGCACCGGCUAACUCCGUGCCAGCAGCCGCGGUAAUACGUAGGGGGCAAGCGUUAUCCGGAUUUACUGGGUGUAAAGGGAGCGUAGACGGGAGGGCAAGUCUGAAGUGAAAUGCCAGGGCCUAACCCUGGAACUGCUUUGGAAACUGUUAAGCUGGAGUGCAGGAGAGGUAAGUGGAAUUCUUGGUGUAGCGGUGAAAUGCGUAGAUAUCAGGAGGAAUACUGGUUGCGAAGGCGGCCUACUGGACUGUAACUGACGCUGAGGCGCGAAGGCGUGGGGAGCAAACAGGAUUAGAUACCCCUGUAGUC
rnacentral:rRNA from 1 species